rnacentral:rRNA from 1 species
AAUAGAUACCCAGGUAGUCCACGCCGUAAACGAUGAGUGCUAAGUGUUAGAGGGUUUCCGCCCUUUAGUGCUGCAGCUAACGCAUUAAGCACUCCGCCUGGGGAGUACGGCCGCAAGGCUGAAACUCAAAGGAAUUGACGGGGGCCCGCACAAGCGGUGGAGCAUGUGGUUUAAUUCGAAGCAACGCGAAGAACCUUACCAGGUCUUGACAUCCCAUUGACCGCUAUGGAGACAUAGCUUUCCCUUCGGGGACAGUGGUGACAGGUGGUGCAUGGUUGUCGUCAGCUCGUGUCGUGAGAUGUUGGGUUAAGUCCCGCAACGAGCGCAACCCUUGUUCUUAGUUGCCAUCAUUUAGUUGGGCACUCUAAGGAGACUGCCGGUGACAAACCGGAGGAAGGUGGGGAUGACGUCAAAUCAUCAUGCCCCUUAUGACCUGGGCUACACACGUGCUACAAUGGACGGUACAAACGGUUGCCAACCCGCGAGGGGGAGCUAAUCCGAUAAAACCGUUCUCAGUUCGGAUUGUAGGCUGCAACUCGCUA